AGAGUUUGAUCAUGGCUCAGAUUGAACGCUGGCGGCAUGCCUUACACAUGCAAGUCGAACGGUAACAGGUUAAGCUGACGAGUGGCGAACGGGUGAGUAAUGCAUCGGAACGUGCCCAGUCGUGGGGGAUAACUGCUCGAAAGAGCAGCUAAUACCGCAUACGACCUGAGGGUGAAAGCGGGGGACCGCAAGGCCUCGCGCGAUUGGAGCGGCCGAUGUCAGAUUAGGUAGUUGGUGGGGUAAAGGCCUACCAAGCCGACGAUCUGUAGUUGGUCUGAGAGGACGACCAGCCACACUGGGACUGAGACACGGCCCAGACUCCUACGGGAGGCAGCAGUGGGGAAUUUUGGACAAUGGGCGCAAGCCUGAUCCAGCAAUGCCGCGUGCAGGAAGAAGGCCUUCGGGUUGUAAACUGCUUUUGUCAGGGAAGAAAUCCUCUGGGCUAAUACCUCGGGGGGAUGACGGUACCUGAAGAAUAAGCACCGGCUAACUACGUGCCGGCAGCCGCGGUAAUACGUAGGGUGCGAGCGUUAAUCGGAAUUACUGGGCGUAAAGCGUGCGCAGGCGGUUUUGCAAGACAGAGGUGAAAUCCCCGGGCUCAACCUGGGAACUGCCUUUGUGACUGCAAGGCUAGAGUACGGCAGAGGGAGAUGGAAUUCCGCGUGUAGCAGUGAAAUGCGUAGAUAUGCGGAGGAACACCGAUGGCGAAGGCAAUCUCCUGGGCCU
rnacentral:rRNA from 1 species